UCAUCUGCAACAUUUAUAUCCUUUAAAGCUUUCUAGUUAGGAAUAACACCUAUAUUUUUCCUUACAAGCAGGUGAUGGAUACCUUUCAAAUGAAACAAUGGCAACCCUUUUGAAGCAAAGCAUAACAUUUCUAUCCUAAAAAGCUUUCAAGUUAGGAAUAAUACCUUUAAUUUUUCCUUAUAAGCAGGAAAACAUAUUUGGUUCUAGAACAGAAAACCUGGUUGAAUCCUUUGUAACUUGUAUUGAAUUAUUGGAAAAUCAAGUUUGUUGAUAUGACGAGUCUCAACUUCGAUGACCAAGAUGGUAAGAUACUUUACAUGUUUGCUUGAGUGUGUUGAAGUUGGAAAUUGGUACCUAAUGUACACGUUUCUUUUCAGGGAUACUGAGAACUAUUUCGGAUGCACCACCAAUCCAUUACACAGUAAAACUACAAUCGAUUUCGUUGCUCACCAAACAUAACUUGGAGAAAUAUGAAUCUGGGGACUUUGAAGCCGGAGUAUACAAAUGGUACAAUCCUUUCUCUCUAUUUCUGAGCAUAGGUUCUUAUUGUUCCUUUUCUCAUAAGCUUUGCGUUAAUUGCUAGUGUUUACUUCUUUUUUUGGAGCUGCGUUGGAGUACUAUAAAUUGUUGUUUUGCUGCAGGAAACUGGUUUUCUAUCCGAAUGGAAACAAGAACAGGAAUGUGAAAGAGCACAUCUCUCUCUACUUGGUAAUGUCUGGAGCAACUGCUCCCCAUAUUUCUUCGGAAGUGUAUGCUGUUUUCAGGUUGUUUAUUCUCGAUCAGAACAACGGCAAUUACUUCGUUCUUCAAGGUACCAUUUCUUCUUUUAACUCAACGAAUAAAAAGGGCUUAUAGUUCUCAUAUUUGUGAAGCGUCGUCUCAUUUUCCAAUCUUUUUAAAAUAUGCAUUGCUCAGAACCAAAGGAAAGGCGGUUUCAUGGGAUGAAACUCGAUUGGGGAUUCGAUCAAUUUCUCUCCCACAAAGCUUUCACUCAAGCUUCAAAUGGAUUUCUCAUAGAUGACACUUGUGUUUUGGGAGCAGAGGUCUUUGUUUCUAAAGAGAGAAGCAAAGGCAAAGGAGAGUGUCUAUCAUUGGUAAGCAAAGGCAAAGGAGAGUGUCUAUCAUUGGUAAAGGAUCCUAUUAUGUACAAGAAUACUUGGAGGAUUGACAACGUAUCAAAGCUAGAUGCGGAAUCCUACGACUCAAAAACAUUCAUUGCAGGAGACCAAAAAUGGUAUAUAACACUAAACUUGUCAGACUUCGCUCUUGGUAUAAGAAAUUUCUCUUGAAGAUAUCGAAAACUUAAGCACAGUUUAUCUGAAAGUGUUGUAAAUGUGAUAGUGGUUGUUGCAGGAAGAUGCAGCUCUAUCCCAAGGGAAAGGGCAAUGGAGUUGGAACCCAUCUUGCUUUUUUUCUGGCGUUAGUCGAACCAAAAUCUCUUCCUCCUGGCUGUCAAAUAUAUGCAGAGUUUAUUUUACGGAUCCUAGACCAGAAGUAUGGCCAGUACCAUAUCUCUAGUAAAGGUAAAGAUUUUGCCUAAUCCUACUGCUACAUAAUAAUACGAGCAAAAAGGAUUAGAACAUCUAACAAACAUUCAAUUAAGGGUGGUUUUAUUGCCGCCAUCAUGCUAAAAUUCCCACCAUGAACUACGAUGAGACUCUAGUUCUUGGAGGUCUUUGAGUUGUGAUGGCAUACCAUGUUGGUGAUACUUACUGUUGAACCUACGUUCAGUGGAAAGCCAAUAUCGAGAAUUUCUUAUUGCAACCUACUGAAAAUGUUCACAAUUAGUCAGUAGUGAAAGAUUUUAGGGUUUAAUUCGUUUUGGGAUUCAGGUAGCCCAAUCAGUCAUCCUCACAGUCCAUUUUCUGAAAACAUUCGAGUGUUUCUUCAAGAAUGUACUGAACUUGAAGACUGCAGUGUCCGGGGCAUUCCCAUUUGGUGCACUCUUGAAAUGUUGAAACUCAUGUUGAACUUCUAGUAUUUAGCAUAAAGUAAUUGAAUGUUUUCAGCAACAUGACAAUAAACCGUAUAUAGACAACAAUUUAAUAUGUUUAGUGUCAUCCAGUUCUAUCUUUUAUUAAAAGUUUGUAACCAACUCUAUUUGCAUGUUUUACCCUUGUGGAAAUAGACUCUUUGCAACGUAAGAGUAAAGCUGUUUAUGAUAGAUAUUCCUUCCCGGAGAGUCCUGUUAGCUUGGAGUCACCCUUUUACCCUUUUUUCCAAUAUACUAUUGAACUGAGAAUCCUUUUUGUUGAUUGCAGCAAAUCACUGGUUCAGUGUCUCAAAUUCGAUGAAGGGAUGGAUGAGAUUUACUACUCUGGGAUCAUUCAACCAGACACACAUUGUGUUGAAUGAUACUUGCAUUGUGGAGGCAGACGUCACUAUCCAUGGAAUUAUUGAUGUACUGUAGCCAAAUAGUAUAAUAGUACAAAAUUCCUGCUAUGUGAAACUUUGGGGGUGUAAAAUAGUAAAGCUAGUCGAAUAAGGUGUUAAAAACACAUUCAUUUCACUUGUGAAUACCAUUGUAUCGUUUGUGACUACAUGGUGAAUAAAUACAUCAUUGUCUGCUCUUCGUAUACCCUUCUUUGACUACUACAAAAUGGAGUUAUUGUGUCAUAGGUGAUGUCGCUUUAAUAUAAUAUAAUGGCGGACAAGACAUUUACGACACCUACUGAACAUGACGUCGGAUUUACUGUCGCUUGUAAGCAUCAUAAACUGUCUAUGUCGCUUUUAACCUACAUAAACAUUUAAUGUCACUUAUAAUAACCGGCAUACAUUUUAAUAAUUUUUAAAUAAUGGUGUCGCUUUAAAAAAAUAGUGUCGCUUUUAAGCGACAUAAAGUAUUGGUGUCGCUUUGAACCAAUGCAAUGUUUUCUUAUUUCCACGCAACUUGCAAUCACUAUCAUGUCUAUUAGGCUUGCUUCGGUUUGAACCGAGGCAUAAUUUUCUUAUUUCGACUCCAUUUUCAUCAAGUCUAUCAGGCUCACGUCGGUUUUAACCGACACAUUUUUUUCCUAUUUCGACACCACUUGCCUUUUAGUAAGUGUGUCAGACUACUUGACUUAGUGUCGGUUUUAACCGACGUGAAGUCCAAAUAUUUCGAUGCCAAGUGCGUUUCAAUCAGUGUGUCAGAGAAAAGCAGCAAUAGAGCUCAAUAUAUUGGGGUAACAAUGUAGUCCUUAUUUCUCAUCUCUAAACCCUUUUUGAAAACCUGUAUUUACGUAAUUUUUUUACAAAAUUUCUUCUUCUUGAAAUGGGCAGUGGCCGAAAGGGCAAUAUUCCCCAGAGGGUUCCUCUCCCCCCCUCCUGUGUAUGGAGCAUCAUCUUUUAGCAGCUCAAAAACUUCCCGUGCUACCAGUUUCAGUUUGCCAUCUUUCACGAACCCUUCCCAUACCAGUUACGAGCCAAGUGUUCCUUCUUAUUAUGGAGAUAGCAGUUCCGUCGGUACAGCUCCACCUACUCCCAACUCAACCUAUGAUAAUCAUGUAUGCAAACUUCUCAGUUGCCACCUCUAAAUACUGUUUUGAUGGGUUUGUAGCGCUCUUGAGGGUUAACAGUUUAUAUGGUGAUGAACAGGUUUGCUGUUAGACCCCACAUCGCUUAAGGGAGUGGAUCUUCUAUGCCUUAUAUGUACAUACCCACCUCUUAUAGCACGAGGCAUUUUGGAGACUCACUAGCUUCGGGUUCCAUAGGAACUUUAAAGUUAAACGAGAAAAAGGCCACAGCAUUCCCAGGAUGGGUGACCCCUCGGGAAGUUCUCGUGUGAGUUCCUAGAAACAAAACUAUGAUGGCAUGGUUGGGGUCCAAAGCGGACAAUAUCGUGCUACGGCGGAGUAGAGCCUAGGAUGUGAUGGGGGCUAGGUUGGGAUGUGACAUUUGCCCCAUUUGCCUUACGAAUCCGAAAGACAUGGCCUUUGGUUGCGGGCAUCAAGUACAUUUUUGAACUAUAGUUUCAAGAUGAGUUGAGACGAUCAUAUUUUUAGUACCGUGUUCUUAGUGUUAUGUUUUCGGUGCAGACAUGCUGCAAAUGCAGACAAGAUCUUCAGUCGUGCCCAAUAUGCCGAAGUGCAAUCCAAACCCGGAUAAAACUGUAUUAACGACUAUGUGCUUUCAUGCCGGAGUUGGCUGACAUUUUGUGUAUUUGUUUAUUUUUCAAUCACAUUCUUUGUAAUCCAUUGCUUCAGGUGGUCAGGAGGUUACUAGGUUUGGUAAAUGGUUGGUCAAAUCCAGCGUAUGGUGAUGAUGAUCCUUUUUUUUUUUUUGGUUGUUUAAGAAGAAAAUGAAAAAGAAGUGAAGAGCUAGCCUCAAAGAAGUGAAGUUUUGGUGAUUUUAUGGACAACAUCAUAAUUAUUUUAUUUAUGGAGAUGUUAGUUAAUGUCGGUUACGACCGACAAUAGAUCUACUAUUUUAUUUAUUUAACUUACGUGAUGUCGGUUUGGACUGACAGUAAGUGUGAUAUUUUUAUUGUGUAUUUGUUACUUAAGGUCGGUUUUGACUGCUAUCAUAUCAGAUUUUCAUGUCGCUUAUAAGCGACGUAAGAGCCGAUGUCGCUUUUAAGCGACGCUGUUGUUCAUUUUUAUUUGGGAUACUUUGGAUGCGGUCCCUAAUCCUUAACAUUAUUUGAUUAAAUCUUAAUGGUAUUCAAAGUUUGAUCAAAGUCCAUUGACUUUGUACACCUCAUUAUAUUACUAUUAAUAUUUAUAUUUUUAUAGUUUUGACAUUAAUUGUUUGAUAUUUUAUGAGAUUCAAAAUCAUAUAAAUUUAAAAUCCCUCAUUAUAAUACUAUUAGAAACGGUUACAAUAAAAAGAGUUCAAACAUUUUGAUUGAAUAAAUGGAUAAAAACUAUGUAAAAAUAAGAAAUAAUAAAUGGCAAAAGAAUGUAUCCAUAGUGUUAAAAAAAUUGGUACAUUUUACAAAAAAAUUGGUACAUUUCACAUAUGACAAAGUGGUACAUUAAUAAAGAAGAAUGGGUACAUUAUAAAUAAAUUAGGGUAUAUAUAAAAGAUUAAAAAAUUAUGAGUACAAAUGAAUUUUCAAAAAAUAUAGGCCCUAAAAGAAUUUAAAACAUGGGUACAAAAUAAAACUAAAAAGAAAAUACUACAAAUUUUAAAAAAAUGUUGCAAAUUAAAAGUGAGUACAAACUAAAAAUAUAAAUAUAUGAUACAAAGUUUAGGCAUAAAACAUAAAUAUACCAUAUGUAAUUUUUCUUUUAUCAUUGAUUAAAUAUACAAUGUCACGUGACGGUAUACACAUGGGUACAAACACAAAUAAAACUUAAAAAAAAGAUGGGCACAAAAAGAAACUAAUAUAUGGGUACAAAUAAAAAAUGAAAAGAAAAUUGGUACAAAUUAAAACAUAUUUGCAAAUUAAAAAUAGGUACAAACUAAAAAUAAAAAUAUAUGAUUAAGAAUUUAGCCAUAAAUAUAAAUAUACUAAUUGUAACAUUUUUAACACUAAAGGAAUAUAUUUAAAAAUAAAAAUAUUUUAUUAUUCAAAUAAUUAAUGAUGUUAUUAAUACCUAAGGACCUUGAUAAAAAAAUUAAAAAUGUUUAAUCAAUGGAGUAACAAAAAGAAGGAUGUGAAGCUAAUAUCUCAUUUUUAUUUUAUAUUACUUUGCUUCUUGGUGGCGGAUUAAGGGGGCUAAGCGACAUCAUUACCCUUUUGGUGAUGGUAGUAUUGGUGUCGGUUCCUCUAUUCGACAUUGCAUGAUUUAAUGUCAGAUUUUUACCAAAAAUCCGACAGUAAUUGGUGUUUCUUGUUGGUUUUACACCGCCAGUGAUAUCCUCUUUUGUAGUAGUGUUUGUUUUCGGUUUCAUUUUUCCUUCCAUGGUGCUCGAGAGCAUAGAAUACUCCAGACUUUUUAACCUUUAGAUUUUAAUUUCUUUAUUUUUAAACAAAGAUCUGAACGGUUAAAGCACACGCAGUAUCCCAUACUCUGGGACAUCGCAGAAAAUCCUUUCUUUUUUCGUUGAACUUCGAUUUGGUUGUUUACAGAGGAAAAGAUUGGAAAUAUAUUGGGACAUGAAAGAUAAAUGAGACAAUACUGAAUUGGAAAAUGUUGCAUUUAAUAAAAGUUGUGAACUUUACAGAAUUCACAAUGAAUCAAAUAUACAAAGAACAUGAUAAUACAGAGUGAAGCGGGCCUCACAUGCCUGUUCUGAUAGGGACGAGGCGAUUAGAUAAUUAGGGGAGGAGAUGGCAAGAUUAGCCAAAGGUUUUCUCGCUGCUGUAACACAUCCAGGAAACGGUCAUCCUCCUUGUAAGUUUCAUAGAUGGAAUCCAAGCGACUGGCCGUAAAGAAAUACACAUAAUAAAGUGUUAAAGUGACUCCGAAAACAUGAUUCAUGCGCGAAAUUGUACUGGUCGAAUGGAUGACAACACGCUCUUUACCUGUUUGAGGUAAAGUGUUCUUCACAUAAACAAAAAGAGCGUUCCUUGGGGUCAAGUGAAGCCUACUGCUUAAGAUAUGGAUAAACUGUCCGACAGACAUAUCCCUAGGAACUAGGAAUUUAGAAGAAACAAGGAAACACGGGAUAGAGGUUAUUCUCCUUAAAGUGAGAAUGCAUAAACAAGCAGCUAAAAUUGACUGAGGAUCCUCUCCGGAUCCUCUUUGUGAGAAUUUCGGGGACCCUCAAAUCAUAUUUGUUCAUCGUACAUCGUGUGGUCAGUUUUCGUUAGAUACUGUUUAUAUUUAAUUUUAAAUAAAAGUAUUAAAAUAAUUUCUAACAGUACGAUAUACGAUGAACAGACACGAUUUGAGGAUCCCCACAAAGAGGAUCCGGAGAGGAUCGUCGUUCACUAAGGGUUAGUUUGGUAUUGCUGUGCUUUGAAAAAAAGCUGCUGUGAGAAUAAGCGGCUGUGCUGUGAGAAUAAGCAGCACUCCCAAACCACCCCUAAAAUUGUCCAAGAAGUAAAACAUUGGGAUUAUACAAAGCUGCAGAUAAAGGAAAUUCAUCCAAGCAAAAAAGAUCCUCAGAACACAGAGCGAGUAACAGAAGCCAAGCUCUCUGUUAUACAAGAACGAAGAGUUAUAUAUUCAGGAUUCCUAUAAUUAUGUCACAUAAACCAGGAAGAAGGACCUAGAGACGGAAACUUUACUGACCUAUAAGAAUAUCGAAAUUCUUAUAUCCUAGAAAGUUUCAUUUACAAAUGUCGAUGUGAAAUUGUAAAACUAGGGUGCCAUAUUGCAUUCAAGUUUGUUCUUGACAUAGGAAAGAUUGACCUUGUAGAAAAUGAAGAGAACUGUGACAACUAAAACAUACUUUUUCUUUUCCAUUUCAGGCAGGUCUAUCCAGGAAUAUCUUUCAAUGUUCCCCUGCAGAAAGACAUAAAAAGAACACCCUAAUCAGUUUUGACAUCUUAUCCACCCUCUCAAAAAUGCUUCCAAUCAAGUCUAACCGUGUCGCUUGUACUUAAAUUAAGCCACUUUAUGAUUGCACAUGUGAGGUUAUACGAUAAAAUCUUCCUAAAAUAAUCAAUUCUUCCCGAGUGUAUCAGAUCUGUACACGAAAUGCAAUGAAAAAAACAUCGAUCAAUGAUACACAAUUCUUCGAGGUGAUAAUGGGAACCAUCAUGUUAAAACUUAAAUUUAUUUCCGUGUUUUGAAAGUUUUGAACAAAAAAAAAAGAAUUGCCUGAAAGUGAAUAUCAAACCACAUAAGAUAAUAACAACUUCAGAAAGAAAAUGUCGAAGAUUCUUCACAUACGUAAUCCACAUGAAUUAAAAAUUGACCUUCUUUCGCCACACAAACCAAAAAUUUGUCAUUUCAAAGCAUGCAUCCAUCAAAAUCUCUCAGCCACUAAAACGUUAUCACCUCUCAAUAGGGUCAAUGUCAAAUUGUAAUAGAAUAAUAAUUAAAUCUUUAACAAAUAUUAAGCAACAGAAAUGCGUGAAUAAAUUAAACAAAUUAAGAAAUUCUAAUCAACCAAAAGAUCAUAAACAAGGAUAAAUUUCCAUAUUUCCAAAUUCCAAGUGCAUUAUUAAAUUCCCAGUAUAAUGGCACUUCCAAAAACAAAAAUCACUGAAAAAAAAACAAAAAAAAAACCUCACCGGAACUCGAUCUGGGUAGUUUGCAAUUAUAUAUAUAUUUUUAUUCUUCAAGUCGUUCAUCAAAAAAAAAAAAAAAAAACCCAAUAAUUAGCACCAAAAAAAACAAUAUUUUGCAAUUAUAUUUUGUUUGGUCACAGAAAACUAGUGCUGUACCCAAAUGGAAACAAGACGAGACGAGAAAUGUGGCAGGCCAAAUCUCUCCUGACUGGUUGGGAAGUUUAUGUUGAUAUCAGGUUCUUUUUGCUUGAUCAGAAGAAAGGAUGUACUUGGCUUUUCAAGGUAUUGCAUCGUCAUGUUUAUUUCAUCUAGUGGAGUGACAACUCGUUCUUUUUCAUAUUUUCUUAGUCUUGCUUUUAAUUUGCUGAUCCAUUUUCAUGUUGCAUUUCUUAACUAGACGUCAAUGAAAAGGAAAAGUGUUUUCAUGGGAUUAUGCCUUAUUCGGGUUUUGAUCAAUUCAUCCCUCUUAAAGCGUUUACUAAUGCUUCCAACGGAUAUCUCAUGGAAGACAUGUAUUUGGAGCGGACAUUUUUGUUUGUAAAGAAAGAAGAAUAGGAAAUGGAGAGCGUCUAUCAAUGAUCAAGGAUGCUGUUAAGUGCAAGCAUGUUUGGAAGGUUGAGAACUUUUCAAUGUUAGAUGUUGAGAGUUACUACUCACAACUCUUAAUUGCUGAAGACCUGAAAUCGUGACACACCCCAACCCCGAUGUCCGGAGGACAACGGAAUGGCCACGUGUUGGCCGACAUCCAAGUGUGACGUAAGCCAUUUAAUGAAUGCAUAUGCCGAGAAGAAGUUUGUGACAUUCAAUCGGCCUGGACGACCGUCAGUCACAUUUCAAGGUGAGCGACGAAUCCUUCCUAACAGUAUCAUUUCUGCUAUCCAUGCGACUAAAUUGAUGCAUAAAGGAUGUGUGGGAUUUUUAGCCCAUGUAGUUACGAGGUGGGCAUAUACAUAUAAGGCACAUCACCCUCUCUCCGUUGGUCAAUGUGGGAUGUUACAAUCCACCCAGAAUGGCUCUAAUACCAUUCUGUCACAUCCCAAACCGGCUCUGCCGUAGCACGAUAUUGUCCGUUUUGGGUUCACCAUUCCCUCAUGGUUUUGCUUUUGGGAACUCACAUGAGAACUUCCCAUUGGGUCGUCUAUCCUGGGAAUGCUCUCGCCCGAACUCACUUAACUACGGAGUUCCCAUGGGAUCCGUAGCCAGUGAAUCUCCAAAAGGCUGCAUGCUAUAGGAGGUGGGCAUGUACAUAUAAGGUAUAUCACCCCCUCUCUAUUGGUCAAUGUGAGAUGUUACAAUACCAACGGAGAGAGGGUGAUGUGCCUUAUAUGUACAUGUCCACCUCCUAUAACGUGAGGCAUUUUGGGAAAUCACUGGUCCAUCGGAACUUCGAAGUUAAGCGAGUUCGGACGAGAGUAAUCCUAGGAUGGGUGACCCAUUGGGAAAUUCUCGCACGAGUUCCCAAAAACAAAACCGUAAGGGCGUGACCCAAAGCGCACAAUAUCAUGCUACGGCGGAGUCGGUCUGGGAUGUGACAUAAACAGUUGAAUCGGGUGACGGUGAAGAAUCGUUAUCCUCUACCUCGGAUCGAUGACAUGUUCGACCAACUGAAAGGUGCAUAGGUAUUCUCUAAGAUCGAUCUUCGCUUAGGUUAUCAUCAAUUACUGAUCUGUGAAGAAGAUGUGCCGAAGACUGCAUUCCACACUAGGUAUGGACACUACGAGUUCCGUGUCAUGCCUUUUGGAUUAACAAAUGCACCUGCAGCAUUUAUGGAUUUGAUGAACAUAGUCUUUAGACCGUAUCUGGAUCGGUUUGUGAUUGUGUUUAUUGAAGACAUUCUAAUUUAUUCCAAAAGUGUUGCCAAGCACAAGAAACAUCUGAGGAUGGUGCUGGAAAGCCUAAGAAUCAAUCAGCUGUAUGCUAAGUUCAGUAAAUGUCAGUUUUGGCUUAACCAGAUUAGUUUUCUUGGACAUGUAGUGUCUGCUGAGGGAAUUAGUGUGGACCCUCAAAAGGUUUCAACAGUGUCUACUUGGGAGCAACUGAGAAACGUUACUGAAGUGAGAAGUUUUCUAGGUCUAGUUGGCUAUUAAAGAUGUUUUGUAUAGGACUUCUCAACAAUUGCCUUGCCUUUUACUAAGUUAACUCGUAAGGGGGUCAAGUUCGAAUGGGAUGAGAAUUGUGAACAGAGUUUCCAGGAGCUUAAACGGCGUUUUACUCAAGCUCCCGUCCUUGCUCUUCCAAACGAUGGUGAUGAGUUUGAGAUUUACAUUGAUGCAUCUCUGUCAGGUUUGGGUUGGGUUCUGAUCCAGCAUGGGAAGGUUAUCGCCUAUGCUUUUAGACAACUCAAGAAUCACAAAAGAAAUUAUCCUACUCAUGAUCUGGAGCUCGGAGCAGUAGUUUUUGCCCUAAAGAUCUGGAGACACUAUUUGUACGGCGAAAAGUGCCGCAUCUUCACUGAUCACAAGAGCCUAAAACAUGUCCUCACUAAGGAGGAUUUGAAUUUGAGGCAGAGAAGAUGGAUGGAACUCAUCAGUGAUUAUGACUGCACUAUCGAAUAUCAUCCCGGACAUUCCUAUUUCGUACGGCUUUACGAUGAUGGAGUAUCUGUGAGUGGACCCCUUCUAAAUUGCAUGUUUUAAAUAGUAGAAAUGCAUACAUGAAAAACAUGAUUUAUUGAUUAUAUUUUAUGAAACGUUUUAUAAGAUAUUCUGCUUACUUAAAAUAUUUUGGAAUACCAUAUUUUCUAUCAAACCCAUGUUCUUUGUAGAGUUUCUGAUGGAUGACGAUAUACUAUUUAGAACAUGUUUUCACACCCUUCUUUAUAGUAUAGAUGAUGGAUAACUUUAUACUAUAAAGAUGCUUUUGAAAUAUAUGUAUCUAUGUUUUAGAAAGACUAUGUUCAAUGGUUUUGUGCGUAUCUAGUGGUCACUGUAUUACCUUCAGGCGGGUGUGUGUAGGGCACUGUUCUAUGCAUAUCAAAGAUACUUACAACGCCAUUCUCUUCUUUCUCUUCUUUCACAUAAUUGACCUUCGCAUCAAGUGUGAUGUUUGGAGCUCUACAUUCCCAAGCAUAAUGUCCGAACUUUUGACAAUUAUAACAUUGAACUUGAGAUUUUUCAUACCUUAAGUUUGAGCGACCUCUUCCACUACCUUUUGUUGAGCUUUCUCUUCUUUCGUAGUUGCUAUGGUUGUUGAAGUUCCAACCACGUCCACGCCCAUGUCCACAUCCCCGACCUCGGCCACGACUUCUUCUAUACUGGCUUCUCUCGUUGUCGAAGCUUUCUUCUUUCUUCUUUGGCUAGACAUGUGUCUUAAGGAGCUGCUCAUCAUUUCCUUGCCUCUUCUUAUGUUUCUCUUCAUAUGCUUGUAGCGAACCCAUUAAUUGCUCUAUACUAAUUUCUUCCAAGUUUUUAGUUUCUUCAAUCGUCACGACAAUGUGCUCGAACUUGGGGUCCAACGAGCGUAGUAUCUUCUCCAUAAUUCUAACAUCUUCUAACUUUUCUUUGUCUCUUAAUUGAUUGGAAACGGCUAAGACUCUUGAGAAAUAAUCAGAGAUUGAUUCAGACCCUUUCAUUUGUAGAGAUUCAAACUCACCUCUUAAUACUUGAAGACGAACCUUUUUCACUUGUUCGGCUCCUUUGUAAGAGGUUUGAAGCUUCUCCCAUGCUUGCUUGGCAGAGGUUGCACUCGAGACCUUCUCAAAGCCAUUGUCAUAUAAUGCUUGGCAGAUGAGGUAGAGAGCCUUCUUGUGUCUCUUUCUUGAAUCUUUCAAACUCACCUUCUAGGGUUGGGACAUAGCAGCUUCAUCUUUUGGCUCAGUGUAGCCUUUCUCCACAACUUCCUAUACACCUUGUGCUCCCCAAAGGGCCUUCAUUUUGAUACUCCAAUUAUCGAAGUUGUUGUUGUCGAGCACUAGAACUUGGAAGACUGCCAUAGCGUUGCUAGCCAUAGCUAUGGUACCACUUUGUUGGGGUUUAAAAAUGCUUCACUACUUUGGAGAUGUUUGUCUCACAAAGAAGAGUAUGACGCAACGGAAUUUGAUAGGCAAGAGAAAGAAAAAACACUCAAAGUAUUACACAAUUUUUAUUCUCACACAAACUUAGUACAAGAGGAAACACUCACUCUUAGAAGCUUUGUUAGUUCUUCUCACUUCUUACUCCUCACUUCACUCUUUUUCUCACUUCCUCUCUUAGUUGUUACAUCACAUAGCUUAGCACCUCACCUAUUCAUAGGCAAGGUUUGCCAACUUUGGCAUUGCUAGAACUUUCUAGCUAAGGCUUAACAACAACAUUUUUACAAGAUUCUAGAUCUUUCUACAAAAGCCUUAGAUAUUUAUGCAUGCAGUCCACCAACUUGAACUUUGCUAGAACUCUGUAGCAUGUGCAUGGAUCUUUCUUUGUGUAUGGGCCGGAUCAAUUGUCUUGGGCCAAGACAAGGUUACAAUUCAACACGGAUAUCUCAUGGAAGACAUGUAUUUGGAGCUGACAUUUUUGUUGGUAAAGAAAGAAGAAAAGGAAAUGGAGAUCGUCUAUCAAUGAUCAAGGAUGCUGUUAAGUGCAAGCAUGUUUGGAAGGUUGGAAGGUUGAGAACUUUUCAAUGUUAGAUGCUCAGAGUUACUACUCACAACUCUUAAUUGCUGAAGACCAGUAAUCGUAUCUCCAAUAGCUUUUCAAUUUUCUAUCUUAUCAAUACCUUUUCUUUGCUGAAGUCAAUUUUCAGCUAACUGAAAAGAGAUGGAUAUACUUUAAGAGGUUUGAAGUACAUAUGCAAUUUGUACGUACAUAAUGUUUACAUUAUCCCUUAAGGUGUCAAGUUGUAGUUUUGCUUCUAAUGUAAAAAAUUGCUCCUUUUUCUUAAACUUGAAAGGUUAAUGGAAUCUUGAAAUGUUCUCAUAUACCUCUUCUGAUGGUCGCUGGAGGAAGAUUCAGCUCUGUCCGAAAGGAAAUUAUGAUGAGAAGGGUACUCGUAUUUCACUUUACUUGGAAUUGGAUGGUUCAGAAGACCUUCGUGAUUCUAAAGUGUUUGCUGAGUUUUCCUUGCGCAUUCUAGAUAAAUCCCUUCCUUGAACAAGUCUUCUGAAGGUAAAUUUGUCCUAUUUCAAUGUUUAAUUAUGUAUAUAGUCUCAUAUAACAUGAGGAUUUAUUCCGUGUCCAUGUAGCUAGUCGCUGGUUCAGUGUCGCGGAUUAAAGUUUUGGUUGGUCUUGUUUCAUUCCACUGGACACUUUCAAACAUGCAGGCAAGGGGUUUUUGAUGAUACUUGCAUAGUGGAGGCCAAUGUCACUGUCCUCGGAGCUGCAAAAGCACUGCAGUCUACUUGUCUUCAGUUUCAAUGUUGCUAAAAUGAUGUUAACUGACUUAUGAAUAUGAAUGAAAGUUCUGCGUCCACGAUAUGGUUUGUACUAAAUGUGGCGCUUCUAUAGAACCCUAGAGCAGCAAUCCUUUCCCACCAAAUGACUUGUGGUUGAAAGGCAUUUUUAUCUUUGAAUUUAUGUUGGGCUCAAGUUUGUGCUUUUGUUUAAAAAAUGAUUGAAAUGCAUUUUUUGCUCAAAAAUAUGGUUGAGCGCCAAAUAUACCGAGUCUUGACUAGUAAUGUCAUACGACUAACAUCUCUUGUCUAUAGCCGAAACUUUGUUUUGUUUGUGUAAUCUUAACCCUCUUGACAAUGCUAAACUAGGGAUGGGCAACGGUUAUGGCGGGCGGGUAACUGCGGUUAUUUACUCAUAACCGUUAAAGUUUUUAUCCGCAUAACCAUUUACCCGUUGGGUAUUUACAUAAACGGGUAUACUCAUACUCAUAACUGUUUAUAAACGGUUAACCAUACCCAUAACCGCAUACCUAUUUAACCAUAAUCGUGUACCUGUUUACUCUUUUUUUUUUCACCUGUCUACCUAUUUUUUUAACAACUUGAAAAUUAAAAAGAAAUUGUCAUACUUUUCUUUUUCUAACAAUUAAAUAUCGUUAUAAAUACAUUUAACAUGAAUUUUUGUAUUAACGGCAAUAUUAUUUAUGAAUAUAUGGGAUGUCUCCCAAUUAUUUGACCGUCAAUCUAUUACAAGAAUCAUGCAUGGUCGUAGGUUAAUUAAUAUUCUUGUAUACAUACAUGCAUACAUACAUACAUACAUAUAUAUGUAUGUAAGUAUGCAUCAGUCUGCUAAUAAGCUAAUUUGAUAAAUAUUUUCAUUUUUAUUUAGAAACAUAUGUUCAUCGAUUCAAGCCAUUUAAUUGAUUUCUAAUUUUUGGAGAAUAUGUGUAAAAUUGGACAAUGUGUUUUGAAGCACCUAAAAGCAGGUGAUGGAUACAUUUUCAAUGAAAAAAGGCAACCCUUUGAAGCAAAGCAUGACGGUUCUAUUCUAUCCCUUUUUUUUUUCCUUGACAAACAAUAGCAUUGCUAGGUUCAAUUGUUAGUGUUCAGGGGAGAUCAAACCCUCACCAAGGCACAUAGGCAUGAUUGCUUUCCGCCAUUGCGGUAAAGCAUCAUCUACAACAUUUAUAUCCUUUAAAGCUUUCUAGUUAGGAAUAACACCUAUAUUUUUCCUUACAAGCAGGUGAUGGAUACCUUUCAAAUGAAACAAUGGCAACCCUUUUGAAGCAAAGCAUAACAUUUCUAUCCUUAAAAGCUUGCAAGUUAGGAAUAAUACACCUUUAAUUUUUCCUUAUAAGCAGGAAAACAUAUUUGGUUCUAGAACAGAAAAC
rnacentral:lncRNA from 1 species